GCGCUGCUCCUGGUGUCUGUGCAAUCACACUGGAUCUGUUGUUGCAGGGACGGAGCCUGCGCGUCCGUGGGAUGGUGCUGGGCACGGGGGGAAACGGAAAGCCUCCCCAGAAGCUGAUGCAAGCAGGCUUGCAGUGAAGCGCAGCCUUCCAGGAAGGCCGGGGAGGAGCACGGAGUGUGGCCCAGCACCCAAGAGAGGGAGAGGAGCUGAGCCAAAUGGCAAGAU